UGCAAGUCGAACGAAACUUCUUUAUCACCGAGUGCUUGCACUCACCGAUAAAGAGUUGAGUGGCGAACGGGUGAGUAACACGUGGGCAACCUGCCCAAAAGAGGGGGAUAACACUUGGAAACAGGUGCUAAUACCGCAUAACCAUAGUUACCGCAUGGUAACUAUGUAAAAGGUGGCUAUACUACCGCUUUUGGAUGGGCCCGCGGCGCAUUAGCUAGUUGGUAGGGUAAAGGCUUACCAAGGCAAUGAUGCGUAGCCGAAUUGAGAGGUUGAUCGGCCACAUUGGGACUGAGACACGGCCCAAACUCCUACGGGAGGCAGCAGUAGGGAAUCUUCCACAAUGGGCGAAAGCCUGAUGGAGCAACGCCGCGUGGGUGAAGAAGGUCUUCGGAUCGUAAAACCCUGUUGUUAGAGAAGAAAGUGCGUGAGAGUAACUGUUCACGUUUCGACGGUAUCUAACCAGAAAGCCACGGCUAACUACGUGCCAGCAGCCGCGGUAAUACGUAGGUGGCAAGCGUUAUCCGGAUUUAUUGGGCGUAAAGGGAACGCAGGCGGUCUUUUAAGUCUGAUGUGAAAGCCUUCGGCUUAACCGGAGUAGUGCAUUGGAAACUGGGAGACUUGAGUGCAGAAGAGGAGAGUGGAACUCCAUGUGUAGCGGUGAAAUGCGUAGAUAUAUGGAAGAACACCAGUGGCGAAAGCGGCUCUCUGGUCUGUAACUGA
rnacentral:rRNA from 1 species